rnacentral:rRNA from 1 species
CUUAUGUUUAAUAAGAAUGACGGGCAAUUUGUGCAUUAUUUAAAAAUUUUUAAAAUGAAAAUUUCAUUAUAUUUAACAUUUUAAUUUUAAGUUCAUAUAAUAAUAAAAUUAGUUAAUAAAAUUAUAAAAAUUUUUUAAUAUAAUCCAUAAAAACUAAAAAAUAAUCUUUGUCUUGAUUUACUAUAUAAAAAUUAAAAUUUUUUAAAUUUUUAUAAAAAUAAAUUAUAAAUUUUAAACAAUGAUAUAAAAAAUAAAAUUUUUAGUAAAAUUGAAUGUGGAUUAUCAAUUAAAAUACAGAACCCCCUAAUAAUUUAAAAUAACCGCCAUUUUAUUUAGGUUUUUUUUAAUUAAAUACUACCUUAAAAUAAAUUAAAA